AUUGAACGCUGGCGGCAGGCCUAACACAUGCAAGUCGAACGAGUGGCGGACGGGUGAGUAAUGUCUGGGAAACUGCCUGAUGGAGGGGGAUAACCACUGGAAACGGUAGCUAAUACCGCCUACCCUCAGUUGUGCCCAGAUGUGAUUAACUAGUUGGUGGGUGAACGGCUCACCAAGGCGACGAUCCCUAGCUGGUCUGAGAGGAUGACCAGCCACACUGGAACUGAGACACGGUCCAGACUCCUACGGGAGGCAGCAGUGGGGAAUAUUGCACAAUGGGCGCAAGCCUGAUGCAGCCAUGCCGCGUGUAUGAAGCAGGCCUUCGGGUUGUAAAGUACUUUCAGCGGGGCGGCGUUACCCGCAGAAGAAGCACCGGCUAACUCCGUGCCAGCAGCCGCGGUAAUAC
rnacentral:rRNA from 1 species